UGCGUAGGCGGCUUUUUUAAGUCAGUGGUGAAAUCUUGCCGCUUAACGGUAAAAUUGCCAUUGAUACUGAAGAGCUUGAGUCCAGUUGAGGUAAGCGGAAUGUGUAGUGUAGCGGUGAAAUGCUUAGAUAUUACACAGAACACCAAUUGCGAAGGCAGCUUACUAAACUGUCACUGACGCUGAUGCACGAAAGCGUGGGGAGCGAACAGGAUUAGAUACCCUGGUAGUCCACGCCGUAAACGAUGCUCACUCGCUGUUUGCGAUACACAGCAAGCGGCCAAGCGAAAGCAUUAAGUGAGCCACCUGGGGAGUACGAUCGCAAGGUUGAA
rnacentral:rRNA from 1 species